rnacentral:rRNA from 1 species
UAAUAGCGUAUAUUAAAAUUGUUGCAGUUAAAACGCUCGUAGUUGAAUAUCUGCCUCCUAUUGUCUUGGUCCGCUUUGCGAGUACCGAGCAUUAGAGGCAUCCGUUUGCAUAUCUGAUUUCAUCAGUUCUGCAAACCGUUCACUUUGAGGAAAUUAGAGUGUUCAAAGCAGGCUUUGGCCUUGAAUACUUCAGCAUGGAAUGAUCGAUAGGACUUCCGUCCUAUCCGUUGGUUCUAGGGGCGCGAAGUAAUGAUAAAUAGGGUCGGUCGGGGGCAUUCGUAUUGAACAGUCAGAGGUGAAAUUCUUAGAUUUGUUCAAGACGAACAACUGCGAAAGCAUUUGCCAAGGACGAUCCCAUUAA